GAAUCCUUUAUGAUGAACCAUUUCGGAUGUAAACACAAAUUCCACUGAAUUGCGCAAACAAUCUCGUGUUGAUAUUUCCGUUGCCUUCCUUCUGAUCUACACU
rnacentral:snoRNA from 1 species